UAAGCUUACAUGCACAUCCAUCCGCCCGCAUCUAACCAAUGCAGGAUCCACUUUGUCUCUGUGAUUGGUUGUGAACACUAUUAUCCUCUCCUCCCCGCAACAUGACCAUAAUCCAUCUGUGAAGUUGAGGAGACCUGAUAAGCUGUAGCAGUAGUGGCCUUUAGCAUUCUAUCAGCAGUCAGAUCAAGGGAACAAUCUAUGUCCUCAAUCACAAUUAUUGAUCUAUUGCUAGUUUGGAUUAGCAGAGCUCUGAGAUCUGAGUUGUCUGUGACUUUGGUGAGUUCAAGAUCAUACACAUCGUAGCACAAAUAAUUAGCCAUUGCAGCUAUUAGACUUGAUUUGCCUGACCCUGGAGGACCAUAGAGCAAGUAACCCCUCUUCCAUGCCCUCCCAACUCUAUGAUAGUACUCUCUGCCACUAGAAAAUGCCUUCAAGUCCUCCAUUAUCUGCCUCUUCAAUUGAGGCUCCAGAGCCAGCGUUUCGAAGGUGGAUGGAUGACGGAAAGGAACUGAGACCCAGCCUGACUCGUAUGAAGCAUUGCCAUUGUUAGUAAACAGCCUCCUCUCUCUUGAUACUCGCUCGAACUCUUCAGCACGCGAUGUCACAUGCUGGAGAUAAGGCGACAGCAGCAUAUGCCGGUGUCUCUUUGGAAGUUUGAGAGUAAAGCUACGUUUCUCUUCUAAUGAGUCCUGUACAGUGUCAACUUGGUGUGUCCAACAAAGAGAGUGGCCAUUGAAGGAGUCGUGGAUGGUGUGAUUGGGAGCUAUAGUGAAGGAAAUGCAAUUGGAUGACCUGGACCGGGAGAGGGAGAAGCGUCGGCAAGUGGAGGCAGUGGCAGAGGAGUUGACAGAGUUGAGGUAGAGGUUGACAUGGCGAUAGAGAUCAUUGAUGUCAACACCACAGUAGCCAUUAAAUUCCGGGAUGUCAAAGUAUGAAUAUUGGGAAAUGAGGUCUUGGAGGGACUCGAUGAGGGAGUGAAGAAGGGAGAGGAGUUGUGCAGGUAAGAUGUUUUGAAGGACUGUGAGAAGACCUAAGAGUGACCAAAGUUGUGACAAUAUAUCCAUAUCAGUCUGUUGUGUGUUCUUGGGUUGGUGAAUUAUGAUUUUGUCUCUGCCUAGCUAUUUGUAAUGUUCGAUAUAUCAAGUAUAGAAGAUGACAAAUGGGAAGAGAAGGUGGGGAAUGUUGAUUGAUUAUGUUGGAUUCUGUAUGUUUAUGGUUUUGGACACUAACACAGUGCAGGUGAGAUAUAUGCAAAUGCAACCUUGUGGCAAACGCUAAAAAGAAGUGUUGAGGUUUGGAAAAAGCAGCAGCAAAGAUAAAGCUAAAGGUGAAGCCACCUACUCCUCUUUUGCUUUUCUUUUGCCAUGUAAGCUGUCAUAGCAUUGAUAGACGCGCUGGUUAGAGUUGAAAGAAAAGAGAGAAGAGAAGAGAAGAAGCACAUAAACCACAGGGCGUCCAUGCCAAGAACACGAGAAGAUAGAUUGCUUUUGCUUUUGUCUCCUUUUUUACCAAUCAUCUUUUGUUUUUUCCUUCUCUUAAUCUAUAUGGGAUUCGCAUAGGUCAGAGAAUGUUCGUUGGAACAAUUACACUCAUCAUUGAUCAAAGAAUAUAUGCAAAUGAUGAUCCAUAUGUAAGUGGUGCUGUAUAUAAUCCUAUUCAUUAUUUUUCACAUCAA